GUUGAACGCUGGCGGCGUGCCUAAUACAUGCAAGUCGAGCGAACAGACGAGGAGCUUGCUCCUCUGACGUUAGCGGCGGACGGGUGAGUAACACGUGGAUAACCUACCUAUAAGACUGGGAUAACUUCGGGAAACCGGGGCUAAUACCGGAUAAUAUAUUGAACCGCAUGGUUCAAUAGUGAAAGACGGUUUUGCUGUCACUUAUAGAUGGAUCCGCGCCGCAUUAGCUAGUUGGUAAGGUAACGGCUUACCAAGGCGACGAUGCGUAGCCGACCUGAGAGGGUGAUCGGCCAGACGGGAACUGAGACACGGCCCAGACUCCUACGGGAGGCAGCAGUAGGGAAUCUUCCGCAAAGGGCGAAAGCCUGACGGAGCAACACCGCGUGAGUGAUGAAGGUCUUCGGAUCGUAAAACUCUGUUAUUAGGGAAGAACAAAUGUGUAAGUAACUAUGCACGUCUUGACGGUACCUAAUCAGAAAGCCACGGCUAACUGCGUG
rnacentral:rRNA from 1 species